AUUGAACGCUGGCGGCAGGCCUAACACAUGCAAGUCGAGCGAGCGGCGGACGGGUGAGUAAUGUCUGGUAAACUGCCGGAUGGAGGGGGAUAACUACUGGAAACGGUAGAUAAUACCGCAUACCAUCAGAUGUGCCCAGAUGGGAUUAGCUAGUAGGUGGGGUAACGGCUCACCUAGGCGACGAUCCCCAGCUGGUCUGAGAGGAUGACCAGCCAUACUGGAACGGAGACACGGUCCAGACUCGUACGGGAGGCAGCAGUGGGGAAUAUUGCACAAUGGGCGAAAGCCUGAUGCAGCCAUGCCGCGUGUGUGAAGAAGGCCUUCGGGUUGUAAAGCACUUUCAGCGGGGAGGCGUUAUCCGCAGAGGAAGCACCGGCUAACUCCGUGCCAGCAGCCGCGGUAAUAC
rnacentral:rRNA from 1 species